rnacentral:rRNA from 1 species
UACGUAGGGGGCAAGCGUUGUCCGGAAUCAUUGGGCGUAAAGCGCGUGUAGGCGGUUCGGUAAGUCUGCUGUGAAAGUCCAGGGCUCAACCCUGGGAUGCCGGUGGAUACUGUCGGACUAGAGUACGGAAGAGGCGAGUGGAAUUCCCGGUGUAGCGGUGAAAUGCGCAGAUAUCAGGAGGAACACCGGUGGCGAAGGCGGGUCUCUGGACCGAUACUGACGCUGAGGAGCGAAAAGCGUGGGGGAGCGAACGG